rnacentral:rRNA from 1 species
UACAGAGGUCUCAAGCGUUGUUCGGAUUCAUUGGGCGUAAAGGGUGCGUAGGUGGCGCCGUAAGUCAGGUGUGAAAUUUCGGAGCUUAACUCCGAAACUGCAUUUGAUACUGCGGUGCUUGAGGACUGGAGAGGAGACUGGAAUUUACGGUGUAGCAGUGAAAUGCGUAGAGAUCGUAAGGAAGACCAGUGGCGAAGGCGGCGAUCUGGGAAGAUACUGACGCUGAGGUGCGAAAGCGUGGGGAGCAAACAGG